GCCGACCUAGCUCAACUGGCAGAGCGCCAACCUUGUAAGUUGGAUGUUAGGGGUUCGAGUCCCCUGGUCGGCU
rnacentral:tRNA from 1 species